rnacentral:rRNA from 1 species
UACGAAGGGGGCUAGCGUUGUUCGGAAUCACUGGGCGUAAAGCGCACGCAGGCGGAUCGUUAAGUCAGGGGUGAAAUCCCGAGGCUCAACCUCGGAACUGCCUUUGAUACUGGCGAUCUUUGAGUCCGGGAGAGGUGAGUGGAACUCCGAGUGUAGAGGUGAAAUUCGUAGAUAUUCGCAAGAACACCAGUGGCGAAGGCGGCUCACUGGUCCGGUACUGACGCUGAGGUGCGAAAGCGUGGGGAGCAAACAGG